rnacentral:rRNA from 1 species
GACCUACGGGGGGCAGCAGUGGGGGAUAUUGGACAAUGGGGGGAACCCUGAUCCAGCGACGCCGCGUGAGUGAAGAAGUAUUUCGGUAUGUAAACCUCUUUUGUCGGGGAGCAAAGAGACCACGUGUGGUCAAAAGCGAGAGUACCCGAAGAAAAAGCAUCGGCUAACUCCGUGCCAGCAGCCGCGGUAAUACGGAGGAUGCGAGCGUUAUCCGGAUUUAUUGGGUUUAAAGGGUGCGUAGGCGGGACGGUAAGUCAGCGGUAAAAAUGCGGAGCUCAACUCCGUCGAGCCGUUGAAACUGUCGU